CCUACGGGUGGCAGCAGUGGGGAAUAUUGGACAAUGGGGGGAACCCUGAUCCAGCCAUGCCGCGUGUGUGAAGAAGGCCCUUGGGUUGUAAAGCACUUUCAGUGAGGAAGAACGCCUGGUGGUUAAUACCCAUCAGGAAAGACAUCACUCACAGAAGAAGCACCGGCUAACUCCGUGCCAGCAGCCGCGGUAAUACGGAGGGUGCGAGCGUUAAUCGGAAUUACUGGGCGUAAAGCGCGCGUAGGUGGCUUGAUAAGCCGGUUGUGAAAGCCCCGGGCUCAACCUGGGAACGGCAUCCGGAACUGUCAAGCUAGAGUGCAGGAGAGGAAGGUAGAAUUCCCGGUGUAGCGGUGAAAUGCGUAGAGAUCGGGAGGAAUACCAGUGGCGAAGGCGGCCUUCUGGACUGACACUGACACUGAGGUGCGAAAGCGUGGGUAGCAAACAGGAUUAGAUACCCUGGUAGUC
rnacentral:rRNA from 1 species